rnacentral:rRNA from 1 species
UACGUAGGGACCAAGCGUUGUUCGGAUUUACUGGGCGUAAAGGGCGCGUAGGCGGCGUGGUAAGUCACUUGUGAAAUCUCUGAGCUUAACUCAGAACGGCCAAGUGAUACUGCUGUGCUAGAGUGCAGAAGGGGCAAUCGGAAUUCUUGGUGUAGCGGUGAAAUGCGUAGAUAUCAAGAGGAACACCUGAGGUGGAAGACGGGUUGCUGGGCUGACACUGACGCUGAGGCGCGAAAGCCAGGGGAGCAAACGGG